rnacentral:tRNA from 1 species
GGGGUCGUAGCUCAGCUGGUUAGAGUGCCGGCCUGUCACGCCGGAGGUCGCGAGUUCAAGUCUCGUCGGCCCCG